rnacentral:rRNA from 1 species
UACGAAGGGGGCGAGCGUUAUUCGGAAUCACUGGGCGUAAAGCGUGCGUAGGCUGUUCUGCAAGUCAGGAGUGAAAGCCCAAGGCUCAACCUUGGAAGCGCUCUUGAAACUGCAGGACUAGAAUUUGGGAGAGGAUAGCGGAAUUGUCAGUGUAGCAGUGAAAUGCGUAGAUAUUGACAGGAACACCAGUGGCGCAAGCGGCUAUCUGGACCAACAUUGACGCUGAGGCACGAAAGCGUGGGGAUCAAAC